rnacentral:rRNA from 1 species
GGCGGCGUGCUAACACAUGCAAGUCGAGCGAUGAAACCCUUCGGGGUGGAUUAGCGGCGGACGGGUGAGUAACACGUGGGUAACCUGCCUCAAAGAGGGGAAUAGCCUCCCGAAAGGGAGAUUAAUACCGCAUAAUAUGUUUUGGUCGCAUGAUUGAAACAUCAAAGGAUGUUCCUUUAGAACUUCCACUUUGAGAUGGACCCGCGGCGCAUUAGCUAGUUGGUGAGGUAACGGCCCACCAAGGCAACGAUGCGUAGCCGACCUGAGAGGGUGAUCGGCCACAUUGGAACUGAGACACGGUCCAGACUCCUACGGGAGGCAGCAGUGGGGAAUAUUGCGCAAUGGGGGAAACCCUGACGCAGCAACGCCGCGUGAAUGAUGAAGGCCUUCGGGUUGUAAAGUUCUGUCUUCUGGGACGAUAAUGACGGUACCAGAGGAGGAAGCCACGGCUAACUACGUGCCAGCAGCCGCGGUAAUACGUAGGUGGCAAGCGUUGUCCGGAUUUACUGGGCGUAAAGGAUGCGUAGGCGGACAUUUAAGUCAGAUGUGAAAUACCCGAGCUUAACUUGGGUGCUGCAUUUGAAACUGGGUGUCUAGAGUGCAGGAGAGGUAAGUGGAAUUCCUAGUGUAGCGGUGAAAUGCG